rnacentral:rRNA from 1 species
UACGUAGGGACCAAGCGUUGUCCGGAAUCAUUGGGCGUAAAGAGCGUGUAGGCGGCCUGUUGCGUCCGCUGUGAAAACUCGGGGCUUAACCCCGAGCCUGCAGUGGAUACGGGCAGACUAGAGGUAGGUAGGGGAGAAUGGAAUUCCCGGUGUAGCGGUGAAAUGCGCAGAUAUCGGGAGGAACACCGGUGGCGAAGGCGGUUCUCUGGGCCUUACCUGACGCUGAGGAGCGAAAGCGUGGGGAGCGAACAGG